CAAUAGCGUAUAUUUAAGUUGUUGCAGUUAAAAAGCUCGUAGUUGGAUUUCGGUUAAGAGCGACCGGUCCGCCGUUUGGUGUGCACUGGUUGGUUUUAACUUCCUGUAGAGGACGUGCUCUGGGUUUAACGACCUGGACUCGGAGUCUACGUGGUUACUUUGAAAAAAUUAGAGUGUUCAAAGCGGGCUUACGCUUGAAUAUUUCAGCAUGGAGUAACACUAUAGGACUCCUGUCCUAUUUCGUUGGUCUCGGGACGGGAGUAAUGAUUAAGAGGAACAGUUGGGGGCAUUCGUAUUUCAUUGUCAGAGGUGAAAUUCUUGGAUUUAUGAAAGACGAACUUCUGCGAAAGCAUUUGCCAAGGAUGUUUUCAUUAA
rnacentral:rRNA from 1 species